ACUAAUUCAAUCAUGACGCUUGGUGAUUUUUAUGCAAGUUUGUGGAAAUUGAAAUUAUAAAAAAUCGAAUCAGAGAUGAUUCUUUCAGUGUGCUUAUUCAAAUAGAAAUGAAAGACAAUUCUUUAGAAAAAUGACAGUAUUGUUAAGGAGAUAUUUGGUUAGAUAAUAGACGAUAAAUCGGGGAGAGGCAGCGGACUGCAGCAAUGACCCUGCAGCGGGCAGUGUGCGGCACUGCGGCGGCAGUGGCCUCCCGCCGACUGGGGACGCGACUGCUGUCGGCGGCGGCGGCGCCCGGCGGACCCCUGGCCGUGUACCAGCGCCGGCUGGCCGACGGCUCCCUGUACGCCGACGAGUACCAGGCGGCCAUCGUGAAGCGGCUCGACCAGAUUCACCGCAGCCUGGACGGCUACUCGCCGCCGCGCCGCUCGCUCCUGUCGCGGCUCUUCUCGCUGGGCGCGUCGUCAAGUCGACGGCCGCGCGGCCUCUACCUCUGGGGUACCGUCGGCACCGGCAAGACGAUGCUGAUGGACCUGUUCCACGACUGCGUGGACACGCCACACAAGCGGCGCGUGCACUUCAACGCCUUCAUGCUGGACGUGCACCGGAGAAUCCACGAGGCCAAACAGCGCGCGGCGAUUCAGAGCAGCGACACCAAGCCGCGCGCGUUCGACCCGAUCCGACCGGUCGCCGAGGCCAUCGCCGAUGAGGUGUGGCUCAUUUGCUUCGACGAGUUUCAGGUGACCGACAUUGCCGACGCCAUGAUCCUGAAGCGACUGUUCACCUCCCUCUUCUACAACGGCGUGAUUGUGGUGGCGACGAGCAACCGACCGCCGGACGACCUCUACAAGAACGGUCUGCAGCGCGGCAACUUCCUGCCCUUCAUCCCCGUGCUCAAGGAGCACUGCUACGUGGAGUGCCUCGACUCGGGAAUCGACUAUCGGCUCAUGGGAGCUGCCAGCCAGGAGAAAACCUAUUUCCUGAAGAGUGACGGUGACGCCGACUCUGGCCUGCGCCGGCUCUUCAAGGUGCUCUGCGCCCGCGAGACGGACGUGGUGCGGCCCCGGCUGCUGCACGUGCGCGGCCGAGACGUGCAGUUUGAGCGUACGUGCGGCCAGGUGGCCGACUGCACCUUCUCCGAGCUCUGUGACCGGCCGCUGGGAGCCGCCGACUACCUGACAAUGGCGCAGUUCUUCCACACGGUCAUCAUCAGAGACGUUCCGCAGCUCAACACCAAGAAGCGGGCGCAGGCGCGGCGCUUCAUCACGCUGAUGGACACGCUGUAUGACCACCAUGUGCGUGUCGUCAUCAGCGCAGACGUGCCGCUCAAGGAACUUUUCACCGCCGAUAAAGACAUGGACGUGGACGACGACAAACGGGCACUCAUGGACGACCUGAAGCUGACCAAUGACUCGCUCACCGAGGCCAGCAUCUUCACCGGCGAGGAGGAGCUGUUUGCGUUCGAGCGCACUGUGUCGCGCCUGGCUGAGAUGCAGACGGCCGACUACUGGUCACGCUGGGAGCAGACCGCAGCCUGAUGUCGGCCGCCGCCGCUCCGCCGCCCGCCGAGAGUCACACCGAGCCACCCACCGAAGUCAGUCCACUCCAACUGGGACAGUGGGACCCGCGCCGGCUUCAGGGGACUGCUGUCAGAGCACGCUAGUAUGCUUGGAGCUCGCUGCAAUCGAUUCGCCAGCCUCAGCUCGUUGCAUUCGGUCCAACUGUGAUCCGGGACGGGUAAAGGUGGUAUUUAUUAGUGGCUGACUUCUGGGGCGGUGGGAUUCAAGGCGGUUAGGUGGAUGUGGCUGUCCUAGUUCAAUUUCACCAACAUAGACCUCUUGGAGGUCUGCAAUACAAAUAGAAUCGCUAGUUGUUGACUAAGUGCUGUUACGAGCGGGUGAGACUUGUUGGUUGGGACACGCAGCUGGUGUGUGUCGUUUUUAUGCUGGUGGGCACCAUUGUGGUGCAGUACGCUUGUAUGCUGGUUGUUGUUGACUUGUGAUUGGAAAUUGAAUUAUAUAUUUGCAUUUUUA
rnacentral:misc_RNA from 1 species